rnacentral:rRNA from 1 species
CACGUAGGGGGCAAGCGUUGUCCGGAUUUAUUGGGCGUAAAGAGCUCGUAGGCGGUUCAGUAAGUCAGGUGUGAAACCUCCAGGCUCAACCUGGAGACGCCACCUGAUACUGCUGUGACUGGAGUCCGGUAGGGGAGCGUGGAAUUCCUGGUGUAGCGGUGAAAUGCGCAGAUAUCAGGAGGAACACCAAUGGCGAAGGCAGCUCGCUGGAACGGUACUGACGCUGAGGCGCGAAAGCGUGGGUAGCAAACAGG